AUAUCCUGGCACUGGUAAGCCAAAUGUAUGUAGAAUGGUUGAGUUGGAAGGGACCCUGAGGAUCAUCUAGAUUUUAGACCAAUGCCCAGCAAUGCAAGAAUAUGCAGCUGCCCCAUGCAGCAACCCUGGCAUUAUCAGCACAACGCUGUAACCAACUGAUAAAAAUGAAUUGUCCCUAUUCAGUCCACAAGGGAUAGCAUUGAACCUCUAGAUUAACUGUAAUUCAGUGGUUUCACAUUGCAGUCUCCCUUUGAAGAUCCUUUAUAUAAGAAUGGCUGAAUGGUUGAAAUGUUUCCCCACUGGUUUUUCAAUAUUGCCAUUCUAGUUGUCAGAUUUGUGUCCAUGUAAAAAAUAAAAAAAUUAAAAUCAAAGCCACUGAGUUGGGUGGAUGCAUCUGCAAUGCAGUGCCCCUUGGAAUGGGGAAGCCCCAUGCAGACCUGACAGUGAAGCACUCCCCGCCCCCACCCACUGUCUGUAAGGUUGAAUGGCUGCCUUUUCUCCAAAAUAGAUGUAACCCUGACAAGGCAAAGGAGACGAAUGAAAACCAUAUAGUAGGCAUUAUACAGUCAGUGGUUGUGCUUAUUGUUCUGGGAGCUGAUCAAGAAUAUAUUUACUUUUUUGAGAACAGAAUGUAAAGUGUCACUAUUCUUCCAGUUUUAAUCCAGAAAAAAGAGUGUUUGUGAAACACUGCUCUGUUGAUAUCUGAAUUUAUUGUGUCCUCCUAUCCGUCUUUUUCGAGCUUCUGGUCACUACAUAUUCAUCAUCUGUGUCAUUUGGAUGGAUUAGGAUCCUAGGGACCAUAGCAAUUUCCACUGCUAUGGUCAUACAUUUAUGCCUUAUAUUGCCGUGUUCCAGUUCAGCGGAUGAAGAAUUCAACCUGGGCUGCAAAGACUGACUUGAGAUCUUUGCCACCUCUGCUUUGAUUUUAUUCACAGGCCCUGGGAAGCCUUGUGGUGGUAGUGAGGGCCUGGCGGGGGGGGCAGGGGGUGGAGAGGAGGGAAGAAUCUGAUGAUCUCAUGGCUCUUGGUUGCUUUGGCUAGAAGGGAAGGUCUGGGCUCAGAGAGGAGUUUUGCUAAUGGAACAAGUGAGGAAUGCACAGCUGCCCGUCUCCUUUUACGAGUUUACCGUAGGCCUCAUUGGAGAUGGAGCAACAGAAAACGUGUUGCUAUGGAUAUGUACACAGCACUUCAAAUGAGCCAACUCUGCCUCCCCAAAUACGCGCCAGAGUUCCUUUCCUCUCCCUCCUACUCCCAUUGCAGCAGUAUGCGCUCACACUUCUGUUAAGAGCUUCCACUUCCCUGAAGAAAGGCUGGUGGCACAAAUUGGUAAGACUCUCGUCUCCACAGCACAUUUAAACUAGCUUAAAAAUUUACAGUUAAAGUCAUAGCUUCCCAGAAAACAAACCCUGAGAAUGGUAGGCUUCUGAAAACGCUCAACAACAACAACACCCCCCCCCCAAUAUCAGGAAGGGAGAAGAGAGAACUCUCUUCCUCCGGUCUGUCAGACCACACACAAUGAUUUCUUAGGCUCACACCUUAUCUAUACAUUGAGUGAUAGACAAUUAAAUGUAUAUGUGUGCUAAUGUAGGUGUGCACACCUAGGCACUAAUAAUUUACAUACACCUCAGGUGGUGUGGAUCCUUGUUCUAUGCUGAUAACACCCCUGUAGUUAUUCUGAUGUAUAGAUAUAAUAACAUCAUUCAAAAUGCACUACUUUUCCGCAAUUGGAGUCACCUUGAAGGUAUUGAGAAAGGUUUUGUACCUUGUUGUGUAUCUCAUCCCACCCUUAACUCUCUUUGCCUCACUGCCACCUUCCCAGCCCAAAUGUAAUUUGAAAUGAUGUGGAGAAAAUUCUCCCGAGUAUAAUUCCCAGGAUUCUUUGGGGAAAGUAAUAAUUGUCCAACUGGUUUCAAAUACAAUUCAGUUUCAUAGUACAGAUGCUGCUGCAGCAGCCUGAUUUUGAGGCCUGGGUCCUGCUGCAAUUGUGUAGACCAGAGAGAAACUAAGAGUCCUUCCAUACUUUAUUUUACACUGGGCUUUCCAGGCACAGAUCUGCACUUUAAAGCUCUGUGUCCAACCAAUUUUUUUUGUCCCGCCACUUUCCCCAGGAAAACCCCUGGUUUACCAUUGAAUUGGAACAAGCAGCAACCCGAGGAAAACCUGAUUGCCAUUUGCUCUGAUUCCACAGUAAAAAGUGGGUUAUCCCAGGAAAAAGUGCCAGGACAAAAACAAAAAAACAAAAACACCCGCUCAGAGACAGAGCUUUAAAGCCCACUCCUAGAAACAUGGUGUAAAUGGAAGUUUGGAUGAGACCUUAAAUUUGAAUUCUUCUUGGUUCUUGUUUAUUACUGUAAGAUAACAAUAUUGUAGAACACUGCCACUUAUACACAACGAUUUAUGCAGUAGUUGGUUGAUGAUGUCUCAAAGGUGCCAUUUAGCAAUGCUGCUGCCAACCUGGGUGCGUAUUUCCAACUGUGCCAACUAUAUGGGCACAGAUUUCCGAAUUCAUUAUUCUGAAUUGUCCUGAAGGGUCAUAACUUGUUCGAGAAGAAUGGGCUGACCUGGGAAGUGAAGGAACACGGGGGAUUACUGUAAAUGCCCAGCUGUAGUUCAGUCUGUUCCUGAGCUUCUCUGGGAAGCGAUGAGUGAAGAAAUUCAGGCACAAAGAUGAGCAGUCACUGAAUAAUGGGAAGCCUUAUGCUCCUCCCUUCCCUGACCUAUUCUGUGGGUUAUUCUUGACUCAGCCCAGACUAAGCAGGAAUAGGCCGCCAAGAGCAGGAAUUGUGUGCAGCUGGGAAUUAUCCAGUGUCUUGACUGGGAAGCAAUAAACUCCAGUAAUUAUGUCACAACUACAAAUGCUUCUUUCAAUAGGAUAUGCUAUAUAUCCUGGCGCUUCCUACUCUGCCUGAGGCUUAAAAUGCAGCCAGGUCAUUUAUUUUUCUCAACUUGGAUCAGAGCUGCUUUGGGGGAAAUGCAUCAAAAACGCAGUAUUUCGUAAGAAAUGACAGGAUAGAUACAGGAUAUGGAUAGUGACUAAUGUCGUGUGUACACCACUUCCCAAAUCGGUGGUGGGAGUGCGCCGGAUGCAGAGUAAACAGGAGUGUGUGCACAGCUCUAGUUUCAAAUGGGGAUUGUAAUCUGUAUUGGUUAUUGUGAUGGCAGCAGUUAUUCUAGAGCAGGGGGCCUCUCUAUUUGGCCCUUGGGACUUUCACUUGGCCAUGUUCCACCCGAAGCCACACACCUCACUAGUCCCUGCCCCCUUCAUGCUUUAUUCAUGUGCUUUUGCCUGACCGGAAUGUGUCCUUGAACAAUUAUGAUGUUGCUUGUUUCCUGGAAGAAGGAUGGAGAGGGGCGUGUGCAUGUACAGAAACCUUUGACUUUUGUGUCUAGAAGUGCAUCUAUUUCUCCCUCCACUUUUUUUUCUCUGGCCCUACCCACCACUUGAAUGCAGCACGCAUGAAGUCUCCCAAAAGGGAAUGUGGCCCUUGGACUGCCAGUUUCCCCAUUCCUGCCCUAGAUUAAUUAACGCGGAGUACAGAAAUCUAGAGAGCCAGUGUGGUAUAGUGGUUAAGAGCAGUAGACUCAUAAUCUGGUGAACUGGGUUUGAUUCCCCGCUCUUCCACAUGCAGCAGCUGGGUGACCUUGAGCUAGUCAUAUUUCUUUGAAGUCUCUCAGCCUUGCUCACCUCACAGAGUGUUUGUUGUGGGGGAGGAAGGGAAAGGAAAAUGUUAGCCGCUUUGAGACUCCUUUGGGUAGUGAUAAAGUGGGAUAUCAAAUCC